GACGAACGCUGGCGGCGUGCCUAAUACAUGCAAGUAGAACGCAGUUGCGAACGGGUGAGUCACGCGUAGGUAACCUGCCUCAUAGCGGGGGAUAACUAUUGGAAAAGAUAGCUAAUACCGCAUACUGUGAGAUGGACCUGCGUUGUAUUAGCUCGUUGUGGAGGUAAAGGCUCACCAAGGCGCCGAUACAUAGCCGACCUGAGAGGGUGAUCGGCCACACUGGGACUGAGACACGGUCCAGACUCCGACGGGAGGCAGCAGUGGGGAAUAUUGGACAAUGGGCGAAAGCCUGAUCCAGCCAUGCCGCGUGUGUGAAGAAGGUCUUCGGAUUGUAAAGCACUUUCAGCGGGGAGGCGUUACCCGCAGAAGAAGCACCGGCUAACUCCGUGCCAGCAGCCGCGGUAAUAC
rnacentral:rRNA from 1 species